AAAAAGGUUUCUAUCGUCAAAUAAGUUUGGGGAACAUCACUUGCUAUAUCCAGAUAUUUGAGAUUCACAACACACAUAUUAAAGCGGGCUCCCGAGGCCCGGGGCGAUGGGCGCCGCCGCUGCAUGGACCCGCGCUGCUGCGCGUCAGGCUCCUGUUAGACUUGUGCCUGCUCUGGCGGGGAGGAAACUGCUCUCUGGAAGUACGCUCGUGACCUGUGCAAAAUGAAUUCACUUUUCCACGGCACCAGAGGACCAUUAGUAAAUUCAUUGCCCAGAAUACCCCGCUGGUGUCCUGGAGGAUGGAAUUGGUGUCACAUGGAUGCAGUGGUGACAGCGGACCUGCUCCACUGUGCCUUCCAGUUGC
rnacentral:lncRNA from 1 species